UUGUUGGUUUCGACACCCAUCAGGUGUCACUAAGUGUAACUCAAGUAGUCAACCUACAGCUGAAGUUAUUUGAAAACCAGUUGACAUAAAGUGAAAUCAAUUGAGAAGGAAAUUUAAUAGUUUCUUACAAGUCCAAAAGUCAGAAUGGGAAUAAAGCUCUGAUGAUGUAGCGCAAUCUGAUUAUACUCUUGACUUUUAAAAUCCAAUUUAAUCUAGAAAAGUUAGAAGUUUUGAAAGUUUAUUCACCCCCCACUCCCCCUAGGCUUUCACCUCUUUCGGGGCCAACAAACGCAUCCAUGAAACUCAUAUGCUUGCAGCCUGCUGUUUCAUCCACCACCUGGUCAAUGUUUGGUAAUGGAAAUUGGUUGAUGGGGCAGGCUCCGUUGAGGUACGUCUAGUCAACACACAUCCUCUAAGAGUCCAAGUAGAACCUUUAGGAGCCAAGACCACGUUUCUUAGCCACUCUGGGUAAUAUAUUUCAUUAAUGUGUCCUACAUGCAACAAUGCAACUACUUCCUUCUUCAUAAAGUCCCUCCGUUCUGCUGAGAGAUAUCUCUUCCUUUAGUGUAUCGGCCUCCUGUUGGGAUCUAUAACCAAUUUGUGGGUUAUGAUAUUUUUGUUUAUGCCUGGCGUGUCCUAAGGUUCCUAUGCAAACACCAUGUUGAAGCGGAGGAUCAUGUCUACUAACUGGUCUUUCAGUAUAAGGGCUAAGCCGGUACCGAUCUUUACCACUCGAUCUGUCCGAGCGGAGUCUAGUAUUUUGUCCUAUGUCUCCUCCAUGGGCUUGACUAUAAUACCCCGCAUUCUCCUAAUAUUAUUUUAAAUAUAAUAUUUAAAUAAGGGCUUAGUUCUUGAUCAUUAAUUAUUUUAGUAAAAUAAUUAUAAAGCUAAUUAUUUCAUAAUGGGCUAUAGAUGAGCUAUGUUUAUAAAUUACUAUUUGAGCACUCAAAUAUUCUUUCUAAGCCCAUAAUCUAUAUGAUUUUUCUUAUAGGGCUAUGGACCCAAUAAAUUACCCUUAAGCUCAAUCCUUAUUUCCUAGAAUUCUUCUAAGCCCAAAUGAAAAUAUGUACAUAUAUGUAUAUGUAUUUUAGCCUUGAACCCAAGUUGACCCAACUUCCAUAACUGACAUAGCCCAAAAUGGAAACUUAACCUAGCUAUAAAUAGUAGCUUCUAAAUAUGGUAACCUAUGUGAUCAGCAGCCAAAUCCGCCCCCCCCCCCCACCCCUUCACACCCUCUGUUUCUCAUCUCUCCCUCUCGACUAAACGGCCAUCAAGCUCCAAGCAACAACAAUGAAGGAUUACGGCGGCGGCGACGAGCUUUCAUCUCUUCCCUCUCUCAUUUCUCUUGGACGAAGACAUUGGUAGCCUCCCGCUCGACGACGGCCAGGUAAGAGCAGCCGUCUGAACAACGCCGGCCACCUCCAUGAGCGACGAGCUCUGCUUCCGGCGGCAGCAAGACGGACGGCGACCCAGCAACUCCUUCUUCCUUCGUUCUCUCACCCUUUCCUCCUCGUACCGGUUUCCGAAUAGUGGCGAGUGCGGCAGCAGUAGAGGGAAGCAGCAACAGUGACGGUGGUCGACGGUAAUGACUGCAUUCCGGCGCCACAGCUCCCCUGUUCCGACAGCGACAUACGGUCCUCCUCACCCUCUUCGGCGAUGCGGUACGACGGCUGUAGCGGAGCUCGACAUUGGCGAUCUCCCUUCCCAGCAAUGGCGGCUAAGCUUUGGAGUAAUAGUGAUCGGCGUACAGCCUUCCUCAACGUAGACGGCAGCGGUGAAGCUCCUUUGGCGACGCAUUGAGCAUAGCGGUCUGAUCCUGUUUUGGGCAGAUUCAAGAAUGAUUAGCAUCAAGGUUCAUUAUUAUGGACUUGCUUUUGAGCCAAGCUUAGGAGUGGUGCUUGCUAUUGGAUUAAUGAGCUUCAAGAGGUAAUCAUCCGUGUAUGUAUGUAUAUUACUUGGUGUUUUGAAUCCUGUGAAUUUCUUGGGGUUAUAACUUUGUUUUUAUGACUUGUGAACCUAUAUUGUGGAUUAUUGGACUUGUGUUCAUUAUCCUUUGUAUCUAGAUGAGUAUGAAUAAUUCUUGUUAUGGAUUCCAUGCUUUAUUUGGCUGCUGAGAUGUGUAAUAUGUGUAUUCUGAGCAUAUUUCAUAUUCUGGAUUGGUUCAUCGUGUAUUUUAUUCUGUCUGGGAUUUUGGUGCGUUGAGAGUGCACUUGCGGUGCACGCCGGCGGUAUAAUGUGUCCCGCCAGUUUGUUUCGUAUGUGUAACGGCGGUAUGGUGCGACGGAGUGUGGCGAUCCGUUGGGGGGAUUCGCCCCUUCGUGCGGUGGAGUGUGGCAGUACAGGGUAUUCCGCCAGGCUGUUCUGCUAGUGUACUCCUGGUUCUGUUUCCAA